GAAGCCGCGCAGUUUAGAUGGGAGAAACCUUCCCGUAGGCGCCGUUGUGAAAACCAUGGGAUUCAUUCCUCAGUGUGAGAUCUCCCCAAAGAGACGAUUCGAUGUGACAAUUAUCUAAGCUCAGAGAUAAAGAAGUUACUAUCUGGGCUGGAAUAAUAAUUCACUCAGUGAAGUGCUUGACUUGCAGCCACGUGGACUGGAGUCAGUGACAGAAUCAACCAGGUACAGUGGUAUGCCCUUGUGAUCCCAGCAACAGACUAUCAGGGACAGACCAAUCCCUGGGGCUCAACAGCUGACCAGCCAGCCUAGCCUAGCCUACUUGGUGAGUUUCCAGGCAAGAAAGACCUUGUCUCACACACAAAGCCGUCAUCUCCUGAAGACGCCAGGACUGUCCCUGUUAUGUUCCAACUCACCCUCCAGACCUGAGAAUUAUGAUUAUCAAACUGAGCCACAAUAUGGAUUUCAAAUUUUGUUGGACCACCAGAGGAAGUAAGUUCUUUCCUAAAAAAAGAUUUUAAAAGUUUUCAAAAA
rnacentral:lncRNA from 1 species